rnacentral:rRNA from 1 species
CCUACGGGAUGCUGCAGUGAGGAAUAUUGGUCAAUGGACGAGAGUCUGAACCAGCCAAGUAGCGUGAAGGAUGACUGCCCUAUGGGUUGUAAACUUCUUUUAUAUGGGAAUAAAACGUUCCACGUGUGGGAUUUUGUAUGUACCAUAUGAAUAAGGAUCAGCUAACUCCGUGCCAGCAGCCGCGGUCAUACGGAGGAUCCGAGCGUUAUCCGGAUUUAUUGGGUUUAAAGGGAGCGUAGGUGGAUUGUUAAGUCAGUUGUGAAAGUUUGCGGCUCAACCGUAAAAUUGCAGUUGAAACUGGCAGUCUUGAGUACAGUAGAGGUGGGCGGAAUUCGUGGUGUAGCGGUGAAAUGCUUAGAUAUCACGAAGAACUCCGAUUGCGAAGGCAGUUCACUGGACUGCAACUGACACUGAGGCUCGAAAGUGUGGGUAUCAAACAGGAUUAGAUACCCCAGUAGUC